GGCGGCCCCGUCACCAAUGGGGACCGGCCCGGGAGGCGGUGUCAGCCCGAGGCUGAUUCCAGCGCUGUGGUGUCUCACAUGCUGCAAGGGGCUGACAGUAACAGCUCGCUCUGGGCUGUCCGGGAUGUUCUGCAAGACCUGCUGGGACAGAACAGGAGACUGCAAGUGAGAGGAGGAAUGACAAUGCAGUAAGUAUUACUGUUCCUUUCCUUCUUGAAGCUGCUCAGGGGAAACUCUAAUUUAGUGAUGUCUGGAAGAGCCCCUGACUUACGCUUGGGGGUUUGAGGCCUGAAACUAAGGCUGAAUGCUUCCAAAAAUAAGGGGGGAACACAACCCAAACAAAAUAGUGUGUCUAAUGCAACAGCAGGACCUCACCCAGAGCUGCAGCGCUGAACAUGGCAUCACAUUUGAAAUCUUUAAAUAGAUUCUGGCACAGUGUGAGCUCACUCUCACUCAAAGCCCGGCCUGUGCUGUGCCAAAACUGCAGUUGUGCUGGGGUGUGAGGUGCCUGCUUUCUCCCUGCCAUGAAGAAGACUACAGGGCAUUCAGCCUCACUUAAAAGGGGCACACAGCAGAGUACUUGAAAAUGGCUGGUACUUCUUCAUACAGACGUACUGCCCUCCUGUGGCUGCCAAGGAGCAUCUCUAAUGCAGGAACAGGCAG